CCAAUCCAAAUCCAAUCCAAAUCCAAUCCAAAUCCAAUCCAAAUCCAAUCCAAAUCCAAUCCAAAUCCAAUCCAAAUCCAAUCCAAAUCCAAUCCAAAUCCAAUCCAAUCCAAAUCCAAUCCAAUCCAAAUCCAAUCCAAAUCCAAAUCCAAUCCAAAUCCAAUCCAAAUCCAAUCCAAAUCCAAUCCAAAUCCAAUCCAAAUCCAAUCCAAAUCCAAUCCAAAUCCAAUCCAAAUCCAAUCCAAAUCCAAUUCAAAUCCAAUUCAAAUCCAAUCCAAAUCCAAUCCAAAUCCAAUCCAAAUCCAAUCCAAAUCCAAUCCAAAUCCAAUCCAAAUCCAAUCCAAAUCCAAUCCAAAUAAAAUCCAAACCCCAUCCAAUCCAAAUCCAAUCCAAAUCCAAUCCAAAUCCAAUCCAAAUCCAAUCCAAAUCCAAUCCAAAUCCAAUCCAAAUCCAAUCCAAAUCCAAUCCAAAUCCAAUCCAAAUCCAAUCCAAAUCCAAUCCAAAUCCAAUCCAAAUCCAAUCCAAAUCCAAUCCAAAUCCAAUCCAAAUCCAAUCAAAAUCCAAUCCAAAUCCAAUCCAAAUCCAAUCCAAAUCCAAUCCAAAUCCAAUCCAAAUCCAAUCCAAAUCCAAUCCAAAUCCAAUCCAAAUCCAAUCCAAAUCCAAUCCAAAUCCAAUCCAAAUCCAAUACAAAUAAAAUCCAAACCCCAUCCAAUCCAAAUCCAAUCCAAAUCCAAUCCAAACCCCAUCCAAAUCCAAUCCAAUUCAAAACUGGGGCUGGUCCAAACCUUAUCAAAAAUCAAACGACAAUUCUGUUUCAUAAAUUACCAAAUUUUGAGAUUUUUAGUUUCUGAAAAUCCAAUAAAUCUCCCUUGCGAUGAAAAACGUUCCUAAUCGCUUUCGAUGUUGUUCGCAAAAUUUCCAGCACUUAAUUAUUAUUUAUUCACCAAGCCUGGUCAAAAUAAUUCAGUUUUCGGCCGUUUCUAUUAUGAUUAGCACCGAACGACGGGCACCGGCGAUUAUUAGCAUAAUUUAUGCCAGUUUUAAUAGGCUUGGCGCAAUUUGUCAUCGAUUUUCGAUCGAUGAUGGGAGGGGUGAAAUGUGCACGCCUCACAAACUAAUUCUAAUCAUCAGUGCGAGGUGGUUGGUGAGGCGUAAGUAGAAUCGAUCCGAUUUGCGAUUAUGAUCAGGAUAAAUGCAAAUGGGAAUAUGGUGAAAUGAAGUGGAAGUGGAAUUCUUUCCUGAAUAGUUGGCGGAAGGGAAUUGGGGUGAAUCAUCGUAUAGCUACGGUGCAGCAACAAAGUGGCAAACUUGUUACAGAGAUUCGAGUUACAGACAUUUGAUUCUUGCAUUAUGUAUUAAAAGCUCGGUAGAGAUGAAGAAGAACAUGAAAGUAGUGCAAAUUCCUAUGCUGCUGCAGUAACAUAACCUCAAUCUCGUCUCGGCUCCUUGGUACUAACCUCAAGCUCAAUUUCCAGGUGAGAAAGGUUCCGAAUUUACGAGAGGAACGACGCUGCUGCAUCUACCGUUUUCCGCAACAAUGUCCUGACGGCUCAUUGCAAACUAGCAAAGAUGUAGGGAGGAACCAUUUACAGCUGGAAGAGUUUUACCUUGCAAGUCACGUGCACUUUCCUAGUUUUUACUCCUGGGAUUUUGAAACCUGGCAAGAAGAAAAAGAAAGGGAAGGAAUUUCCUGUCUUUCCAUUCAGUUGUCGUCUGCCGCUUGGAGACUCAAUUUGAAAACAAUGAAACCAAGACGGUUCACGGUAUCUUAACUAAAUUAGACACGUUGAAGUGGGUGGGAGCCAACCGGCUGGAUUCAAAGCAGUAUAGUGAUACUGGAACAGUGGUAUAUUUUGACAAAAGGGAAAACCGGCGAACAAUGAAUGGUACGAAAGGUUUCCGAAAGACGUCAGCUGAAAAGUGGGAAAAUACCCCGAAAAGGAAAUUUUUUUUUUUCUUUUUUUACGACUACUUUUUUAUUUAUUUGACUGACAUUUACAUUGUCACCUCGCUAAGCAUGUGCAUUGUCGAUCUAAGACUUGCCAAUGGUUGAUCGAACAAUCAUUAAUCGAACAAUCAGUGAUCGAAAAAUUGAUAUUUUUGGUCACCUUUCAGAUAUCAUGAUUUCUUUAAUAUGAAAUGGCAACGAUUCCAUUUUCUAAAUUUUUCCACAAUCAUUGAAAAAGUGUCUUCUUCUUCUUCUUUAUGGCUCUUCGUCCCCACUGAGACUUGGCCUGCCUCGCUUCAACUUAGUGUUCUUUGAGCACUUCCACAGUUGUUAACUGAAGAGCUUUCUUUGCUAGCCAUUGCAUGAAUUUGUAUAUUGUGAGGCAAGUACAAUGAUACCGCUAUGCCCAGGGAGUCGAGAGAAUUUUCCCGACCGGAACGGGAAUCGAACCCGCCGUCUCCGUAUUGGCGAUCCAUAGCCUUAACCACUAGGCUAACUGGAAACCCAUUGAAAAAGUGUAUUGCAGUUAAAUACACGCUAAAAUUAUUUUCCUCAGAAAAAAUAAAAAAAAUAAAAAAAGGGAAGAUGAACCAGCCUAGGGCUGAAAGUCUCUAAAAUAAAAUAAUAAUAAAAAAUAUUAUUUUCCUAAAAGUUACAGGCAAAAUAAAAGUUUCAAUUAAAAUCCAAAUUUUCUAACAAAAAUGAAAAAAAUGUUUAAAAAAUUAGAAAAAUCAAAUCUUCGAAACAAAUAGGUAAUCUACCAUGGAUUCCAUAAGAAUUUCCUCCAGUGUUUCUUCCGAAAAACCUUUCAAGAAAUCUUCCAGGGAUUACUUUGUUAUUUUUCUCCUAUUUGUUCAGAAAUGCCCCUAGAGUUUCCCUUAACCCUAGAAGGAGGUUGGGGUCAGACAGGUAUGACCCAGACAAGCUCGCUGAACGUGCAUUACGAAAUCUUGGUGCGCUUAAUCUAGCAUCUCAGCUUCUCAAGGGAUCUUCAUAGCACAAUUCUUCAGAAAUCUAUCUUCAAAUGCUUUAAAAAAUUUUCACAAAAAUUCCUUCAGAAAAUAUCUCACAGAUUUUCUCAGUUAUUACGAACAGAAUUCGUUAAUACCCUCCAAGGAAUCCUUCAGAAAUUCUUCCAGGUAUUCUUUUGAACAAUUUUUCACGAACUCCUUCAGAUAUUUCUUAACCUUCGUCGUGCAUUAGGGUCAUUAUGACCCAAAAGUCGUCUGAGUGACUUUGCCGAAGACAGUAUCCUUCUAAGUGGUCCAGAACACAACAUAUCGACGUUCAGACUGAACUGGAAUUUCAAAGGAACACUAGCGCCACGCAGUGAGUGAUCCUCGAACUAAAUUGUUUUCUAUGCGAAAGCUUUUAGUGUUCUGAGCAACUAUUCCGAAGACAGCAUCCUUCUACGUGGUCCAGAACACAAGAUAUACGACGUUCAGACUGAACUGGAAGUUUCUAAGAACACUAGCGCCACGCAGUGAGUGAUUUUCGAACUAAAUUGUUUUCUAUGUGAAAGCUCUUAGUCUUCUGAGCAUUUUUGUCGAAGACAGUGGUCCAGAACGCGAGAUAUUCCACAACUACUGGCAAAAUGUAGUGCUGUAAAGAAGGUUAACUGAUACCUUCAAAACAUUUUCCAGGGAUUUUUGAAGAUUUUUUUCAGAAACUUCCUCUAAAAUUCCGUAUUUUUUUUUCCUUCAGCGAUUCCUUAACAAGAUCAUCCAUAGAUUCGUUAAGAAAUUCCUUUGUAGUUUCGUACCGAAAUUACAUGAAAAUAAUGAAAUCUCAAAAUGAUUUCGUCUUGAAAAAAUGGAAACCAAUAAUGCUUCAAGGAAAAAUAUAAAAGUGUUUUGAUAUUUAAAAAAAAACCAAAUUCAAAAAAUCGCAGCAGUUUGAUAAAUCAAAAAAAAAUCCCAUAAAUAAUUCCAAAAUUGCGAAUAUAUAAAUAAAAUAAUCAGAAAAAAAUUUAAACAAAAUUUCCAUGAACAAAUGAAAAAGGCCACAAAUAAAUAAAAAUUUGUAAGAAAUAUGUUCAAGAAUUUCUACAAAAAAAUCCGUCAAAGAUUCUUUCAGAUUCUUUUUUUCAAAUUUUCCGAAAAUUCCAUCAGAAAUUUCAAUGGAAAAAAAAACAAAAAAUUCUCCAGAAACUCAUCCACAGCCUGUUUGAAGUAAGUCUUCUUUUGAUGCAUUUGGCAAUUUUCUUCAAGGAUUGCUUUCCGAAUAACUCCUGGGAUAUAUCAAGAAUGUCACUAAGGAUUCCUUCAGCAAUUUCUCAAAAAAUCGGAAAUUUUUAAAUGGAUUUUUCAGAAAUUUCCACCGGAAUCGAUUAAGAAAUGUCUCGAGUGAGACAUUCAGUUAGUUUUCCGGGCGUUUAUUUGGAAAUAUGUCUAAGGAUUUCUCCGCAGAUUCAUUGAGUUUUUUUUUUCUUCAGGAAUUCUUAAAGAAAAUCUUCCGAAAAUUUCUUCAGAAAGCCCUUCAGGGAUUCUUUUAAAAAAUGUGUCAUGGAUUUUUUUAGAUAUUUCUUAACAGAUACCUUCAAAACAUUAUCCAGGGAUUUUUAAAGAUUUUUUUCCAGGGAUUUCUUCAGAAACUUCCCCGAGAAUUCUGUAUUUUUUCCUUCACAAUUACAAUGGAAUCUCAAAAUGUUUUCGUCUUGAAAAAAUUAUAACCAAUAACACUAGUUUACAGCAUUUUUGAACUCGGUAAGCUGAUGAUCGUUUUUGGCGUAGAAUCAUGCCCUGAGUUCGGAAACGCGAAGGAAAAAAAUUACAGUAGAGCGGAUUUUUUUUCGACUUUCCAUACAAGGCUAAUGAUUUGAAAACGAUUUUUGUUCUAUUUUUAAGCAAAGUCGCUCACUUCACACAUCUCGUUCUCCGUAAUUAAUGAUCCGAUUGAGCUGAAUUUUUUACUGUAUCUCGCCUACAUAUGAUAUGUCAAAUAAACGUUGAGAAAGAAUUUUUAAAUUGUUUUUUUCUUAUUGAAAAAAAUACAAUUCUUCAUAUAUUUUUGGAAAUUUUGCAAAAAUUUAAGGAGAUCGUCCCCAAAUCUCGUCAAUAUCUUGAAUUUCAUCAAUCUGGCGCAAAACCUGCAUUCAGAUGGUCGAAUGGUAUUAUAUUCAGCUUUUAUUUUAUGGAAAAAGAUUUAAAAUUGGAUGAAAAAAAGGAAAGUUAUUUGAAUUUUAGUAAAUUCCAUAUUUCAAAAAGUUGUAAAACUCAAUAUUGAGCCAAAACUCAAAAACUGUUCUACUUUAAAUUUUUUGAAGCACGGUUUCGAAAUCAGCGCUAAAUUAUGCUUCAAAAAUUUUGGUCGUUGACAGAAGUUCACGACUUUCGUUUUAUUUUGUAAACUAGUGUAAUGGUUCAAGGAAAAAUAUAAAAGUGUUUUGAUAUUUAAACAAUUAAAUUAGAAAAUUCAAAAAUCCAAAUUCAAAAAAUCACAGCAGCCUUGAUGAAUAAAAAAAAUCUCAUAAAUAAUUCCAAAAUUGCGUAUAAAUAAAUAAAAUAAUCAGAAGAAAAUAAAAACAAUCAAGAAAAAUAUUUAAAAAAAAAAAUAGGGGUGGGAGCAAAACAAACUUUCCAUGAACAAAUGGAAAAGAGCACAAAUUAAUAAAAAAUCGUAAGAAAAACCUCCAAGAAUUUUUUUUUUUUAAUCCGUCAGAAAUUCUUCCAAAUUUUCCAAAAAUUCCAUUAAAAAUUUCAAUGAAAAAAAAAACAAAAAAUUCUCCAGAAACUUUUCCACAGCCUGUUUGAGGUAAGUCUUAUUUUGAUGCAUUUGACAAUUUUCUUCAAAGAUUGCUUUCCGAAUAACUGCUGGGAUUUAUCAAAAGUGUCACUAAGGAUUCUUUCAGAAAUUUCUCAAAGAUUUUUUUUUAAAGAAAACCUUACACGGAUUGCUUCAGAAAUUUUUAAUGAAUUUCUUCAGAAAUUUCCACCGGAAUUGAUUAGGAAAUGUCUCGAGUGAGACUUUCAGUUAGUUUUCCGGGUGUUUAUUUGAAAAUAUGUCCAAGGAUUUCUCCGUAGAUUUCUUGAGUUUUUUUUCUUCAGGAAUUCUUAAAGAAAAUCUUCCAAGAUUUUCUUCAGAAAGCCUUUCAGGGAUUCUUUUAAAACAAUGUUCAUGGAUUUUUUCAGAUAUUUCCUAACAGAUACUUUCAAAACAUUUUCCAGGGAUUUUUGAAGAUUUUUUUCCAGGGAUUCCUUCAGAAACUUCCCCGAGAAUUCUAUAUUUUUUUCCUUCACAAUUCCAAUGAAAUCUCAAAAUGUUUUUGUCUUGAAAAUAUGGUAACCAUUAAUGCUUCAAGGAAAAAAAUAAAAGUGUUUUGAUAUUUAAACAAUUAAAAUCAAAAACCCAAAUUCAAAAAUCCCAGCAGCCUUGAUGAAUAAAAAACUCUCAUAAAUAAUUACCAAAUUGCGAAUAAAUAAAUAAAAUAAUCAGAAGAAAAUAAAAAUAAUCAAUGAAAAAUAUUUAAAAAAAUAGGGGUGGAAGCAAAACAAAAUUUUCCAUGAACAAAUGAAAAUGAGCACAAAUAAAUAAAAAAAAAUGUAAGAAAUACCUUCAAGAAUUUCUACAGAAAAAUCCGUCAAAGAAUCUUUCAGAAAUUCUUUCAUAUUUUCCAAAAAUUCGAUCAGAAAUUUGAAUGAAAAAAAAAAUUCUCCAGAAACUCAUCUACAGCCUGCUCGAAGUAAGUCUUCUUUUGAUGCAUUUGGCAAUUUUCUUCAAAGAUUGCUUUCCGAGAAACUCCUGGGAUUUAUCAAAAAUGUCUCUAAGGGUUCCUUCAGCAAUUUCUCAAAGAUUUUUUUCAAGAAAAUCUUGCACGGAUUGCUUCAGAAUUUGUUUUAAUGAUUGUAACGGGCGCACGACCGUUUAAAGUCCGCGGGAUUCGCGCGGUGAUCUCGGGGACCAAUCGUGUCCAGUCACAAUACUUACUGCGUACCGGCGGUGUUGUAAACGCUAAGACCUGUGCCCUUGCUCUCGCCUUCAGACUGGCAGGCUAGAUUAUCUAGUACCUGGCGGUGGAAGGUUAGGCGAUAGGCGCGUGUCUUCACGAAUAACGCCUCGUUUCGUCGAAAUGACACGCCACUAGGUGGGUGAUCAGCAAUCGAAGGGAACGACACGGUAUUCACUGCGCUUAGGAAAGUUAGUCUGUAGAGGAUUCGUCCCUUUCACCUCGCCUUCAGACGGGCAGGCUAGAAUAUCUAGUACCUGACGGUGGAAGGUCCGGGGAUCGGCACGGUGUCCUUACGAAUAACGUCUCGUUUCGUCGAAAUGACACGCCACUAGGUGGGUGAUCCACAAUCGAAGGAAACGGCACGAUGUUCGAGUUACUCGGGAACUAGGGAUUCUUUCAAAAUGAC